GAUGAACGCUGGCGGCGUGCCUAAUACAUGCAAGUCGAGCGAACAGACGAGGAGCUUGCUCCUCUGACGUUAGCGGCGGACGGGUGAGUAACACGUGGAUAACCUACCUAUAAGACUGGGAUAACUUCGGGAAACCGGAGCUAAUACCGGAUAAUAUAUUGAACCGCAUGGUUCAAUAGUGAAAGACGGUUUUGCUGUCACUUAUAGAUGGAUCCGCGCCGCAUUAGCUAGUUGGUAAGGUAACGGCUUACCAAGGCAACGAUGCGUAGCCGACCUGAGAGGGUGAUCGGCCACACUGGAACUGAGACACGGUCCAGACUCCUACGGGAGGCAGCAGUAGGGAAUCUUCCGCAAUGGGCGAAAGCCUGACGGAGCAACGCCGCGUGAGUGAUGGAGGUCUUCGGAUCGUAAAACUCUGUUAUUAGGGAAGAACACAUGUGUAAGUAACUAUGCACGUCUUGACGGUACCUAAUCAGAAAGCCACGGCUAACUACGUG
rnacentral:rRNA from 1 species